rnacentral:lncRNA from 1 species
UCCCCAAGUACCUAUUUCUAGCUAUUGUAGGAAAGAAGUUAGUGGAGCAGGGGGCUCUUUGGGCUGGUCUGAUAGGGCUGCGUUUGUGCUUCAGUAUGAGCAGUAAGACACGAAGGCAAACACACUUUCAGUGCCGUAAAUGAGGAAACCGAGCAGGAAACCGCUGGGGCGGCGUCCGUGGGGCAGCGGAGCGCGAGCACCGUGCGUGCAGCGCUGGGCUGGGCCGUGGGCGGGAAACCAGCUGAAACGCCCCCACCAACUGUCGUCUGCAGGGCACGCUGCACCGCCGCAGCUCCUUUGGAAAUGUCAGCCUGAAGCAGACAGAAACACUCAGACGAAAGGAGCUACAUCUGGAGGCUUUCGUGAAGUGAAUGUAGCCAAGAGAAGAAAGUGAACUUUUCUCCCCCGGUUUCCUUCCGACGUUCAGCCCCGUUCGCCCCCUCGCAUGGACGCAGCGUGGCAGGAGCAGCAGCAGCGGCUCCGACGCGGCCUCGCAGUCCCAGGAGAGACGAAGCGGGGUCGAAGAAAACGGGGCAGAUUUCAAACAGCUUUCCAAACCUGAAAAGCAGGGAAAUUCGCCACCUGAGUUCGUCUGUAAAGGAUUUGCUUCCCAUCCAGAUCAUUUCUGUGGCUCUUUUCUGCGGCUUGCCGAGUUGUUCAACGUCUUUGCAGAAACGGUCCCUGGAAGCGUGCGGGGCCCACCACUGCUUGCCUCGCCUUUUGAAGACUGUGUUGCCCCCCUUUUCCUGCUUCCCAUACCCAACAGUAACAACGGCCCUUUUUGCCACGGCCCCGCAGUGGCGGUUCGCGCUGGGUCUCUCAUCCCUGCAGCCCUGAAGUCCCUCAGCCGCGGGGGUUUUCGGCGCAACGCCGGCUCGGCACCGGCGCGCUCGGAGGUACGGCGCUGCAGUUGGUGGCAUAAACACCCGCUUUGCUCACACGAACCCGUCCCACCCGUCCCGCUGCUGCGCCCAGUUUCCUGCGCUCGGCGGUAUCUCCUGGCCCGCU